ACCUGGCCAAAAGAGCCAAUGGGAAGACUAGAACUUUUAAAACUUGAAACAAGACUCUCCUUUUUUAUGUCUGUGGUUGUUCUCCCGGAGAGAGGGGACGGGACAAAGCUAUGCUGUAAGAGCUUGGACCAGGUACCUGGCCACUUACUUCGGUUGCCAGGCGUCCGGUUUUCAACCAGAAUGCCCGGUCAAAAAGGGACCCUGGCAGCGCUGAGCGGGCCACUAAAAGUCUGGUAAGUGGCAUGGUGGGGCUAAGGCAGGCUCCCUGCCUGCCUUGGCUGUGUGCAGCUCCCGGAAGCAGCCAGCAUGUCCCUGAAGCCGCUAGGAUCAGGGCAAUCAGGGAGGCUCUGCAGCUCCAUUGGCCAGGAACCGUGUCCAAUGGGAGCUGCUGCCUGCAAGCACGGGCAUCGCACAGAGCCCCCUGAGCUCUCCACUUAGGAACCGGACAUGCCAUCCGCUUCCAGGAGCCACCUGAGGAGAUGUGCCCGGCCCUGGAGAUGGAGCAGAGGAAGGAGUAAAUACUAUUGGCCACUCUCUACUGCCUACCCUGAUAGAUGCUCAGAGUGGAACUGAGGAUGAGCUCUAGCAGGAGCUUUGUCCAGUCUUCUCCUAGUGGAAGGUGAAUCACCUAAACUUUCACAGAGCCUCUGUGAAUGAUGAGAAUCUGAAGGGGACCUCAGAAGAAAAGGUGGGGAUGCCCAGGACACUUUUCCAGCAUUCCUUGUUUAUCCUGAUGGCUUCCUUUCCACUCCAUUAUUUACUAGAGGUUUGGAAGAAUGAAAGAAACUGCUCUGGUCUAUUACUAGGGCCCUGAUUCUGUUAUCACUUAUACUGAUGUAAAAUUAGGUUAAUUUUUGCCCUAAAUGCUACAUCACUUGAAGAAAAGGAAUGAUCUAAUGCUUUGAACAGAGGCCUGGGAGCCACAGACUCCUGGGAGCUAAAAGUAGCACUAACACUGAUUCACUGUAUAACCUUGGGUAAGUCAUUUUACCUCCUCUCAUAGUGUCUCUGUCUUAGUGUACACAUCAGUAAAAUGGAGAUAAUUAGUACAGUUUUCAAAAUUGUGAAAGUCAGAGAUCCCCAAAAUGUGGGGCGCCCCGCUCAGGGGAGCAUGGAGGAACGUCCAGGAGGCUCAGCGGGGUUCAGGCCAGCCCCCACAGGGGCAGGGAGGGAGCACCAUCUGGCCCCCCACACCCACCCCCAGUCAUGUUCCUGGCUCCUGGCCCCACAUCUGGCCUCGGCCCUGUUCCCAGCCUUGCGCCAGCCUCCAGUAGGGUUGCCAACUUUCUAAUAGCACAAAACCCCGCCCCUGCUGUGACGGUGCCCCCCAUAAGGCUUUAUGGAGAUAUGCUUUUGAAUGUAUAUAUGACAAACAUAUUCUAGUUAUAUGCUACAUAUGCCAUGUAACAUAUCUAUGUAAAGGUUAUGAUCUAUUGAAUCUAUUAAUCCUAUUUGUAGGCAUAUGUCAUUUUUGUAUUAAAAGUUAUGAAUAUUGGCAGUGUACUGGCUUGAUUUUGAAGUGACCUUUGUAAAACAUUUGGUCAGCUUCUUGAGAAAGGAAUGUGCAAAUCAAGAAGCACUUAAAGUACAGUGGAUCUUGGAAGGCUCCAAUCCACAUAAGAAGUCUACUUGAGGAUGUUCAAGGCAGCAUGUGACCCAUGGCUGCUACCUGGUAAGAAACUGUGAGUCAUGCAUGGACAUGUGACUUGCACAGGUGACUCCAGAACAUCAUCCUGGAGCUGGACUUUGCAUAGGAGAGAGAAGGGGGCUCUCCAUCCACAAGAGAAAGUCUAUUUAAGCCCAUGGGAGACCCCCUCCAUUUUGUCUUCAGCUGGCUAAAGAGAGAGCCUCUCUACCCCCAAGAAAGAAACUGGAACAAAGGGCAAUAACUACACGGGUUGUGAGUGAUUGCUGGACCCGGACUAGAAGGAGAUCAGUCUGUAAAAGGAAGCUUUCUGGAACUGGUGAGGUUUUGUCUGUAUUCAGUUUUAUUAGACAUAGACUUGUGGGUUUUAUUUUAUUUUGCUUGGUAAUUCACUUUGUU